GUAAAUAAAGUUAUUAAGAAAAAAAAAAAACAAAAAACCGGUUCUCGUCUGAUCACCGAAGUUAAGCCUGGUCGGGCGAAGUUAGUACUUGGAUGGGUGACCGCCUGGGAAUACUUCGUGUUGUAGACU